rnacentral:rRNA from 1 species
GACGAACGCUGGCGGCGUGCUUAACACAUGCAAGUCGAACGGAAAGGCCCUGCUUUUGUGGGGUGCUCGAGUGGCGAACGGGUGAGUAACACGUGAGUAACCUGCCCUUGACUUUGGGAUAACUUCAGGAAACUGGGGCUAAUACCGGAUAGGAGCUCCUGCUGCAUGGUGGGGGUUGGAAAGUUUCGGCGGUUGGGGAUGGACUCGCGGCUUAUCAGCUUGUUGGUGGGGUAGUGGCUUACCAAGGCUUUGACGGGUAGCCGGCCUGAGAGGGUGACCGGCCACAUGGGGACUGAGAUACGGCACAGACUCCUAGGGGGGGCAGGAGUGGGGAAUAUUGCAAAAGGGGCGGAAGCCUGAUGCAGAAGCGCCGCGUGGGGGAUGACGGCCUUCGGGUUGUAAACCGCUUUCGCCUGUGACGAAGCGUGAGUGAGGGUAAGGGGUAAAGAAGCACCGGCUAACUACG